AGACUACUGGAGGAGGGGUAACAGACAUUCAUCCUCUACUCUAUAUUCACCAUGCUCUAGUCUAGACUCCUGGAGGAGGGUUAACAGACAGUCCUCUACUCUAUAUUCACCAUGCUCUAGUCUAGACUACUGGAGGAGGGUUAACAGACAGUCCUCUACUCUAUAUUCACCAUGCUCUAGUCUAGACUACUGAAGGAGGGAUAACAGACAGUCAGUCCUCUACUCUAUAUUCACCAUGCUCUAGUCUAGUCUAGACUACUGGAGGAUGGUUAACAGACAUUCAGUCCUCUACUCUAUAUUCACCAUGCUCUAAUCUAGACUACUGGAGGAGGGUUAACAGAC
ensembl:lncRNA